rnacentral:tRNA from 1 species
AUUACUUUGGCAGAAAAAUGUUUUAAAUUUAGAAUUUAAAUUAAUAUGUAUAAAAAUACAUAAGUAAUA